GCCUAACGGCUGAACCAGCAACUUGGAGGAAUGUAUAGCAAUAGCUAAUUGCAUCAAUGUUUAAAUAAUUGAUGCAAUAUCGACUCUGUUGAAUAAAAUUCUAGGUAGAAUUAUGAUAAUGACAUUGUCUACCUAUGGUGUCUUGACCAAAUUACGUGCCAGCAGUCGCGGUAAUACGUAGAAGACUAGUGUUAUUCAUCUUUAAUAGGUUUAAAGGGUACCUAGACGGUAAAUCAAGCCUGCAAUAUGGGACUAAUGUACUAGAGUUACUUACGAGGGGGUAUUAAAGUACUGCUGGUGUAGAGAUGAAAUUCUGUCAUACCUCGUUUCGGAAGAAACACUAUGGCACAGGUAUAGGCGAAAGCAUCCCCUUAUGUGAUAACUGACGUUGAAGGACGAAGGCUUUGUGUAGCGAACAGGAUUAGAUACCCCAGUAGUCAAAGCAGAAAAUGAUGAAUGUCAUAGAUUAGAUGAUAGUUUAUUCUAUAAAUGAAAGUGUAAGCAUUCCACCUCAAGAGUAAUUUGGCAACAUUGGAACUGAAAUCAUUAGACCGUUUCUGAAACCAGUAGUGAAGUAUGUUGUUUAAUUUGAUAGUCCGCAAAAAACCUUACCACAAUUUGAAUAUUUAGAUCCAUUUACCAGCGUUGCACGGCUGUCUUCAGUUAAUGUCGUGAGAUCAUGGUUAGUUCCAUUAAUUAACGUAAACCCUUACUUUAUUUUUAUAUAGAGUUGUUCCCCGCUAGAUUGGAUAAGAUAACAGGGACUAAGACAAGUCAUCAUGGCCUAAAUAUUGUG
rnacentral:rRNA from 1 species